rnacentral:rRNA from 1 species
ACUACGGGGGGCAGCAGUGAGGAAUAUUGGUCAAUGGGCGGGAGCCUGAACCAGCCAAGUCGCGUGAGGGAAGACGGUCCUAUGGAUUGUAAACCUCUUUAGGCGGGGAGCAAUGCCGGGCACGCGUGCCUGGAGGGAGAGUACCCGCAGAAUAAGCAUCGGCUAACUCCGUGCCAGCAGCAGCGUUAAUACGGGGGAUGCGAGCGUUUUCCGGAUUAAUUGGGUUUAAAGGGUGCGUAGGCGGGUUUUUAAGUCAGCGGUAAAAGGCCGGGGCCCAACCCGGGCCGGCCGUUGAAACUGGGGAUCUUGAGUGGGCGAGAAGUAUGCGGAAUGCGCGGUGUAGCGGUGAAAUGCAUAGAUAUCGCGCAGAACUCCGAUUGCGAAGGCAGCAUACCGGCGCCCGACUGACGCUGAGGCACGAAAGCGUGGGGAUCGAACAGGAUUAGAUACCCUGGUAGUC